rnacentral:rRNA from 1 species
GAACGCUGGCUUCAGGCCUAAGAGGAGAAAGUCGAGCGGCCGUAGCAAUACGGCAGCGGCAGACGGGUUGACAACACGUGGGAACGUACCCUUUGGUUCGGAACAACCCAGGGAAACUUGGGCUAAUACCGGAUAAGUCCGUAAGGAGAAAGAUUUAUCGCCGAAGGAUCGGCCCGCGUCUGAUUAGCUUGUUGGUGAGGUAACGGCUCACCAAGGCGACGAUCAGUAGCUGGUCUGAGAGGAUGAUCAGCCUCACUGGGACUGAGACACGGCCCAGACUCCUACGGGAGGCAGCAGU